GAUUACUGGGCUUAAAGAGUUCGUAGGUGGUUGAAAAAGUUAGUGGUGAAAUCCCAGAGCUUAACUCUGGAACUGCCAUUAAAACUUUUCAGCUAGAGUAUGAUAGAGGAAAGCAGAAUUUCUAGUGUAGAGGUGAAAUUCGUAGAUAUUAGAAAGAAUACCAAUUGCGAAGGCAGCUUUCUGGAUCAUUACUGACACUGAGGAACGAAAGCAUGGGUAGCGAAGAGGAUUAGAUACCCUCGUAGUCCAUGCCGUAAACGAUGUGUGUUAGACGUUGGAAAUUUAUUUUCAGUGUCGCAGCGAAAGCGAUAAACACACCGCCUGGGGAGUACGACCGCAAGGUUAAAACUCAAAUGAAUUGACGGGGACCCGCACAAGUAGUGGAGCAUGUGGUUUAAUUCGAAGAUACGCGCAGAACCUUACCAACACUUGACAUGUUCGUCGCAACUCUAAGAGAUUAGAGUUUUCGGUUCGGCCGGACGAAACACAGGUGCUGCAUGGCUGUCAUCAGCUCGUGUCCUGAGAUGAUGGGUUAAGUCCCCGCAACGAGCGCAACCCCUCACUUUUAGUUGCCAUCAUUUAAGUUGGGCACUCUGAAAAGAACUGCCAGUGAUAAGCUG
rnacentral:rRNA from 1 species